rnacentral:lncRNA from 1 species
AAAAAUUUCCUUCACUUUCACUUUCCCUCUUCUCCAAAACUCUAAAUUCCCAAAUUUUCUAAAAAACCAACGAUUAUAACUAAACCACAAGGCAAUACUGGAACUCCUCCUCCACCAUCUCCCUAAAAUACAUCCACACCUCCUUCACCCAAUACAUCUCCAAAACCUAGACUGCAUAGGGUGAAAAUGCUUGCUCGAAAG